UGAGUACGAGAUGCUACGGCAUCGAAGCAGUCUAUGUCAUACUUCCAAGAAAAGCUUGCAAUGUCAUAAACAAAUAAUGCCUGUACCAUAACCGACACAGGUGGGUAGGUAGAGUAUACUAAGGGGCGCGAGAUAACUCUCUCUAAGGAACUCGGCAAAAUGACUCCGUAACUUCGGGAGAAGGAGUGCCUUAUUUUUAUAAGGUUGCAAUAACAAGAUCCAAGCAACUGUUUACCAAAAACACAGGUCUCCGCUAAGUCGUAAGACGAUGUAUGGGGGCUGACGCCUGCCCAGUGCCAGAAGGUUAAAGAAGUUGGUUAGCAUUAGCGAAGCUGAUAACUGAAGCCCUGGUGAACGGCGGCCGUAACGAUAACGGUCCUAAGGUAGCGAAAUUCCUUGUCGGGUAAGUUCCGACCCGCACGAAAGGCGUAAUGAUUUGGAUACUGUCUCGGAGAGGGGCUCGGUGAAAUAGACUUGUCUGUGAAGAUGCGGACUACCUGCACCUGGACAGAAAGACCCUAUGAAGCUUUACUGUAACUUGAGAUUGAAAUUGGACUUUAUCUGCGCAGUAUAGGUGGGAGACGUUGAAAAUAUUCUUACGGGAAUAUUGGAGUCAUCAGUGAGAUACCACUCUUAUAAUGUUAGAUUUCUAACUUUGUAUCAUUAUCUGGUCAAAGAACAGUUUCAGGCGGGCAGUUUGACUGGGGCGGUCGCCUCCCAAACGGUAACGGAGGCGCACAAAGGUUUCCUCUGAACGUGUAGAAAUCGUAUCUAGAGUGUAAAGGCAUAAGGAAGCUUGACUGUGAGACCUACAAGUCGAGCAGGGACGAAAGUCGGUCUUAGUGAUCUGACGGUGCUGAGUGGGAAGGCCGUCACUCAACGGAUAAAAGUUACUCUAGGAUAACAGGCUGAUCUCCCCCAAGAGUUCACAUCGACGGGGAGGUUUGGCACCUCGAUGUCGGCUCAUCGCAUCCUGGGGCGGUAGUACGUCCCAAGGGUUGGGCUGUUCGCCCAUGAAAGCGGUACGCGAGCUGGGUUCAGAACGUCGUGAGACAGUUCGGUCCAUAUCCGGUGUAGGCGUUAGAAUAUUGAGAGGAGCCUUCUUUAGUACGAGAGGACCGAGAAGGACAUACCUCUGGUGUACCAGUUAUCGUGCCAACGGUAAACGCUGGGUAGCCAUGUAUGGAGAGGAUAACCGCUGAAAGCAUCUAAGUGGGAAGCCCACCUCAAGAUAAGUA
rnacentral:rRNA from 1 species